AGUCGAGCGAACGAUGAGAAGCUUGCUUCUCUGAUGUUAGCGGCGGACGGGUGAGUAACACGUGGGUAACCUACCUAUAAGACUGGGAUAACUCCGGGAAACCGGGGCUAAUACCGGAUAAUAUUUUGAACCGCAUGGUUCAAUAGUGAAAGACGGUUUCGGCUGUCACUUAUAGAUGGACCCGCGCCGUAUUAGCUAGUUGGUAAGGUAACGGCUUACCAAGGCGACGAUACGUAGCCGACCUGAGAGGGUGAUCGGCCACACUGGAACUGAGACACGGUCCAGACUCCUACGGGAGGCAGCAGUAGGGAAUCUUCCGCAAUGGGCGAAAGCCUGACGGAGCAACGCCGCGUGAGUGAUGAAGGUCUUCGGAUCGUAAAACUCUGUUGUUAGGGAAGAACAAAUUUGUUAGUAACUGAACAAGUCUUGACGGUACCUAACCAGAAAGCCACGGCUAACUACGUGCCAGCAGCCGCGGUAAUACGUAGGUGGCAAGCGUUAUCCGGAAUUAUUGGGCGUAAAGCGCGCGUAGGCGGUUUCUUAAGUCUGAUGUGAAAGCCCACGG
rnacentral:rRNA from 1 species